GACGAACGCUGGCGGCGUGCUUAACACAUGCAAGUCGAGCGAGGCCCUCCCUCCGGACCAGUGGCGAACGGGUGAGUAACACGUGGGCAACCUGCCCCUCACUCUGGGAUAACGCCGGGAAACCGGCGCUAAUACCGGAUACGACCAGGCGCGACAUCUCGCCUGGUGGAAAGAAUUUCGGUGAGGGAUGGGCCCGCGGCCUAUCAGCUAGUUGGUGGGGUAACGGCCCACCAAGGCGACGACGGGUAGCCGGCCUGAGAGGGCGACCGGCCACACUGGGACUGAGACACGGCCCAGACUCCUACGGGAGGCAGCAGUGGGGAAUAUUGCGCAAUGGGCGAAAGCCUGACGCAGCGACGCAGCGUGAGGGACGAAGGCCUUCGGGUUGUAAACCUCUUUCAGCGGGGACGAAGCGAAAGUGACGGUACCCGCAGAAGAAGCACCGGCUAACUACGUGCCAGCAGCCGCGGUAAUAC
rnacentral:rRNA from 1 species